rnacentral:rRNA from 1 species
AGCGGCGGACGGGUGAGUAAUGCCUGGGAAUAUGCCCUGAUGUGGGGGAUAACUAUUGGAAACGAUAGCUAAUACCGCAUAAUCUCUUCGGAGCAAAGAGGGGGACCUUCGGGCCUCUCGCGUCAGGAUUAGCCCAGGUGGGAUUAGCUUGUUGGUGAGGUAAUGGCUCACCAAGGCAACGAUCCCUAGCUGGUCUGAGAGGAUGAUCAGCCACACUGGAACUGAGACACGGUCCAGACUCCUACGGGAGGCAGCAGUGGGGAAUAUUGCACAAUGGGGGAAACCCUGAUGCAGCCAUGCCGCGUGUGUGAAGAAGGCCUUCGGGUUGUAAAGCACUUUCAGUAGGGAGGAAGGUAGUGUAGUUAACACCUGCACUGUUUGACGUUACCUACAGAAGAAGCACCGGCUAACUCCGUGCCAGCAGCCGCGGUAAUACGGAGGGUGCGAGCGUUAAUCGGAAUUACUGGGCGUAAAGCGCAUGCAGGCGGCCUGUUAAGUCAGAUGUGAAAGCCCGGGGCUUAACCUCGGAAUUGCAUUUGAAACUGGCAGG